AGUAUGAUAAGUUAUGUUCACAGAAGCAACCACAUCCAUCCCACUAAUCCAGAAAUGGAUUCCUUCGCAUUUGCCUUGUUGCAGAGGACACGAAAGUAAGAAAUCCACAACUGAAGCUUUAUAAACCACUGGAAAAAUGUUUCAUUCCUUGCCUGGUUUUUUUUUGUGACAUAAAUUUUGGCACUGAAAUUAUAAUUUUGAAUGUCACUCGAGGAGCAUGUGGCUCUUUCUAAGCAAAAUAGACAAAAUUAUUUUAUUCUGAGUGAUACGUGUUCAAGUAUAUAUAGCUCAGUAACAAGAUGGCAGACCAAAACCAGGAUGUUUCUGCCCUUUGUUAUCUUGCAUUACAUCCCACAGAGCUCUUUGAUUGUUUCGUCAAUAAAAACGUUUACCUUUGCUUCAAAGAAGUUCUUGGCUCCUCCAACACCCACUUCUUCAACGUUGAUCUCAG